GAUGAACGCUGGCGGCGUGCCUAACACAUGCAAGUCGAGCGAUUUACUUCGGUAAAGAGCGGCGGACGGGUGAGUAACGCGUGGGUAACCUGCCCUGUACACACGGAUAACAUACCGAAAGGUAUGCUAAUACGGGAUAAUGUGCUUUUGUCGCAUGGCAAAAGUAUCAAAGCUCCGGCGGUACAGGAUGGACCCGCGUCUGAUUAGCUAGUUGGUAAGGUAACGGCUUACCAAGGCGACGAUCAGUAGCCGACCUGAGAGGGUGAUCGGCCACAUUGGAACUGAGACACGGUCCAAACUCCUACGGGAGGCAGCAGUGGGGAAUAUUGCACAAUGGGCGAAAGCCUGAUGCAGCAACGCCGCGUGAGCGAUGAAGGCCUUCGGGUCGUAAAGCUCUGUCCUCAAGGAAGAUAAUGACGGUACUUGAGGAGGAAGCCCCGGCUAACUACGUGCCAGCAGCCGCGGUAACAC
rnacentral:rRNA from 1 species